UUCAAACACCAGUUCUCGUACGAUCACCGAAGUUAAGCAACGCCGAGCCUUAUCAGUACCUUGAUGGGUAACCACUUGGGAAUAUCAUAUGCUGGAU